UACAGAGGGUGCAAGCGUUGUUCGGAAUUAUUGGGCGUAAAGCACGUGUAGGCGGCAUGGCAAGUCGGGUGUGAAAGCCCUCAGCUCAACUGAGGAAGUGCGCCCGAAACUGCUGUGCUUGAGUGCCGGAGAGGAUGGCGGAAUUCCCCAAGUAGAGGUGAAAUUCGUAGAUAUGGGGAGGAACACCGGUGGCGAAGGCGGCCAUCUGGACGGUAACUGACGCUGAGACGCGAAAGCGUGGGUAGCAAACAGG
rnacentral:rRNA from 1 species